rnacentral:tRNA from 1 species
AGCUGCGCUCGGAGAAGCCCUGAUGAAGCGUCGAAGGACCCGGGUUCGAUUCCCGGCACCUCCA